CUUCCCAUUGAAUGAGCCAACGCGUAACUGGUUUAUUCUUCCGUUUGAUUAAACCUCUGUUCAAAAUUUGCGCUGGCAUCCAGUGAACUAGGCCAUCUGUCAUGGGAGGCAGAGUGGGAGAAGGGGAGACAUUCGAACCCAACUUCUUCUUCAACAAGGAGACAUGAAAAACGUUGUGGAUACGAGAAGAUCCAGGAAGCUGCAGCUUAUAAGCAACUGUGCCCACCGGUGAAAGGACCUGGAAAGGGCCAUAGAAGCGAGGAGCAAGUUUGGGAUGUUGAGGAUUACGCAUUGUAGCUUGGCGAUAAGGCUGCAAGCGGAGAUAAACCCAGUCCCCUGGUUGAAACUCCCUUUCAGUGCGGUGUUUAUCUGCAAAGUACUUCAUACGAUCCUGCGCUACUUGCAAAUUCUGGCGGAGUUGGCGGAGGAUGGUAUCACGCUCCCGAAGGGUGGUGUCCACGGCAUCCACCGCUGUAGUACCAGGUAUAUAAAAGGGCACGAUAGGAGGAGGUUUCCCAUAAACGGCCUCAUGAGGCGUCAUCUGUAUAGCAGAGUGGAAGGUGGUAUUAUACCACCAUUCUGCCCAAGGUAACCAGGAAGACCAGCUGGUGGGUUUGUCCCCUGCGAAGCAACGCAAAUAGUGUUCCAGCGUGCGGUUGAGAACCUCAGUUUGUCCAUCGGACUGAGGAUGAUACGCUGAACUAUGGCAUAGCUUGGUGCCCUGAGCUUGGAAGAAUGCAGUCCAGAACUGACUGAGGAAAGUAGGAUCGCGGUCACUGACUAUGAUGCGGGGCAAACCAUGAAGUCGAAAAAUCUCCUUGAUAAAAAUCUGAGCAACUUGGACAGCAGUGUAGGGAUGUUUGAUUGCCACAAAAUGGCCAUAUUUAGACAAACGGUCGACCACCACGAGGAUGCAAUUCUUUCCAGAGCUUGGCGGCAGUCCUUCAAUAAAAUCCAUUGCAAUAUCUUGCCAAAUGGAGUCUGGAAUGGCCAAGGGCUGUAGUAAGCCGGGCGGCUUAAUAGAUUCAUACUUGUUGCGUUGGCAGGUGUCACAAGCAGCCACAUACUUCUUAACAUUAGAUUUAAGACCAGGCCAUCUAAAAGUGCGGAGCACUCUCUUGUAUGUUCGCAGGUAACCGGAGUGUCCUGCAGUCGGAGUAUUGUGAAACUCCUCCAGGAUCUGUUCGCGCGACGUAGCAGUGGCUGGUACAUACAAGCUGCCCUUGUAAUAUAAUUGAUUGUUGACCCAAGUAAAGGAAGAAUUGGGAUUGGAGGCAGACUGAGCAUUCAAGACGAGUUGAUGAGUGGCUGAAUCCUGAAGACACGCUGCUGCAAUUUGAGGAAUGUAAUCAAAAAUUGGGGAAGUGAGUCCCAUUAGAGCCAAUAAUUCAUGUUUACGAGACAGGGCAUCAGGUCCUGCAUUAUUUUUUCCAGCUCUGUACUCAAUCUCAUAAUUAUAACCCAAGAGUUUGAGCAGCCAUUUCUCUUGAGUGGUGGUAGUGAUUCUUUGCUCCAAAAAAUAUCGAAUGGUUUGAUGGUCUGUGAGAAUCUUAAACUUCCUGCCCAACAGAUAAGGUCUCCAAUGUUCCACAGCGUAUACUACUGCCAUCAUUUCUUUGUCAUAAACAGAGAGACUUCGAUGCUUGGUAGAAAGAGACUUGCUAAGGUAAGCGAUAGGGUGGCGGUCUUGUGAUAAGAUAGCACCAAUGCCCCCAUUAGAAGCAUCGCAUUCAAUUAUAAACUCCUUGUUGAAAUCAGGCAGAGCAAGAAUAGGUGUAGUAGUAAGAGCAUCUUUGAGAGUUUCAAAAGCUUUUUCUGCCUCCAUGGACCAUACAAAGCCAUCAUUGCGUAACAUAUCGGUUAAGGGUUUGGAGAUGAGGCCAAAGUUUUUAACAAACUUUCGAUAAUACCCUGCAAGGCCGAGAAAACCCCUUAGUCCUUUGACAGUGGCAGGUUUCGGCCAAGUCUCGAUACACUGAAUUUUCU
rnacentral:lncRNA from 1 species